rnacentral:rRNA from 1 species
UAUUAUUUUAGAUAUAAAUUAUUUUAACUUAAGUAGUAUUAGUUAAGGUCUUGAAACUUAAAGAAUUUGGCGGUAUUUUAGUCUAUUUAGAGGAAUCUGUCCCUUAAUCGAUAGUCCGCGUUGUACCUUACCAAAUUUUUUGUAUGUAUACCGCCGUUAUUAAUGAGAAUCUUUUUAGAGUUUAUUAAUUUUCUGAAUUUAUUUUUAAAAAAUAUUUCAGGUCAAGGUGCAGUUUAAUAUUUUGGUGGUGGUGGAUUACAUUUAUAUUAAUUAUUUGGAUUAUUUUUUGUAAUUAGAAUAUAAAAGUGGAUUUAAUUGUAAUUUUUUGUAGAUUGUAAAAUUGAUUUUAGCUCUAUAAUAUGUACACAUCGCCCGUCGCUCUCAUUAUUAGUU